rnacentral:lncRNA from 1 species
GGCCCAACAAAAUAUUGUUAUUUUCAGAAUAAAAGAUCAGAUCCUUACUAAUGCAACAAAUUAAAGCACUACAAUGUAUUAUGGAAAAAUAUGGUUUUAAUGUUUUCAAUUUAAAAUUCUAGCACUCAUGAUUCAAUUUGUCUAAUGGAGAUGUAAAAGAAUUUCAUAUUAAUAUUUUAUAUCAAGGGUCUAUUUGGAU